UGAAAAUGUUAAAGUUCUUAUUUCAUGGUAUAACUUUGGUAUGCUUGGACCUAGAGUCUUCAAACUUGACAUGAAGGUUGGCCAGGAUUAACAGAUGACCACUGGUCAUUUCAAGGUCAUUCAUUUGAAGGUCAAGGUCACUGUGACCUUCAAUAUAAAAAAUGUUAAAGUUGUUAUAACUUUGGUAUGCUUGGACCUAGAGUCUUGAAACUUGACAGGAAGGUUGGCCAGAACUAGUAAGUAACCACUGGACAUUUCAAGGUCAUUCAUUUGAAGGUCAAGGUCACUGUGACCUUGAAUGUAAAAAUGUUAAAGUUGUUAUAACUUUGGUAUGCUUGGACCUAGAGUCUUGAAACUUGACAUGAAGGUUGGCCAGAACUAGUAAGUAACCACUGGACAUUUCAAGGUCAUUCAUUUGAAGGUCAAGGUCACUGUGACCUUGAAUGUAAAAAUGUUAAAGUUCUUAUUUCAUGGUAUAACUUUGGUAUGCUUGGAC